rnacentral:tRNA from 1 species
GGGGAUUUAGCUCAGUGGUAGAGUGCUUGCCUUGCAAGCACAAGGCCCUGGGUUCGGUCCUCAGCCCUG